UACGUAGGGGGCUAGCGUUGUCCGGAUUUAUUGGGCGUAAAGAGCGUGUAGGCGGCCAAGUAGGUCCGGUGUGAAAACUCGAGGCUUAACCUCGAGAUGUCAUCGGAAACCAUCUGGCUAGAGUCCGGAAGAGGAGAGUGGAAUUCCUGGUGUAUCGGUGAAAUGCGCAGAUAUCAGGAAGAACACCCGUGGCGAAAGCGGCUCUCUGGGACGGUACUGACGCUGAGACGCGAAAGCGUGGGGAGCGAACAGG
rnacentral:rRNA from 1 species